rnacentral:rRNA from 1 species
UACAGAGGGUGCAAGCGUUGUUCGGAAUUACUGGGCGUAAAGCGCGUGUAGGUGGCGAUGUACGUCGGGUGUGAAAUCCCUCAGCUUAACUGAGGAAGUGCACUCGAUACUGUGUCGCUUGAGUGUUGGAGGGGAUGGCGGAAUUCCCGGUGUAGAGGUGAAAUUCGUAGAUAUCGGGAGGAACACCUGUGGCGAAGGCGGCCAUCUGGACAACUACUGACACUGAGACGCGAAAGCGUGGGUAGCAAACAGG